UCCCUGGCAGUCCAGUGGUCUGGACUCCACGCUUUCACUGUGGAGGGUGCGGGUUCAAUUCCUGGCCGGGGAA
rnacentral:tRNA from 1 species